GGGGAAUAUUGGACAAUGGGCGCAAGCCUGAUCCAGCCAUACCGCGUGGGUGAAGAAGGCCUUCGGGUUGUAAAGCCCUUUUGUUGGGAAAGAAAAGCAGUCGAUUAAUACUCGGUUGUUCUGACGGUACCCAAAGAAUAAGCACCGGCUAACUUCGUGCCAGCAGCCGCGGUAAUACGAAGGGUGCAAGCGUUACUCGGAAUUACUGGGCGUAAAGCGUGCGUAGGUGGUCGUUUAAGUCCGUUGUGAAAGCCCUGGGCUCAACCUGGGAACUGCAGUGGAUACUGGGCGACUAGAGUGUGGUAGAGGGUAGCGGAAUUCCUGGUGUAGCAGUGAAAUGCGUAGAGAUCAGGAGGAACAUCCAUGGCGAAGGCAGGUCUCUGGGCCGUUACUGACGCUGAGGAGCGAAAGCGUGGGGAGCAAACA
rnacentral:rRNA from 1 species